UGGUCAAGUUAUUAAGGGUGCAGGGCGGAUGCCUUGGCACUAGGAGCCGAUGAAGGACGUGAUAAGCUGCGAUAAGCUUCGGGGAGUUGCACGUAAACUUUGAUCCGAAGAUUUCCGAAUGAGGAAACUCACUUAGAGUAAUGUCUAAGUAUCAUUAAGUGAAUACAUAGCUUAAUGAGGGGAACUCAGGGAACUGAAACAUCUAAGUACCUGAAGGAAGAGAAAGAAAUUCGAUUCCGUAAGUAGCGGCGAGCGAACGCGGAUUAGCCCAAACCAAUAAAGUUUUCUUUAUUGGGGUUGAGGACAUACCACAUAUAAGAGGUCAUUAUAGACGAAGAAGUUUGGAAAAACUCAUCAUAGAAGGUAAUAAUCCUGUAGUCAAAAUAAUAAUUCUUUAGGUAUGAUCCAGAGUACCACGGGACACGUGAAACCCUGUGGGAAGCAGGAGGGACCACCCUCCAAGGCUAAAUACUACCUAGUGACCGAUAGCGUAUAGUACCGUGAGGGAAAGGUGAAAAGAACCCCG
rnacentral:rRNA from 1 species